rnacentral:rRNA from 1 species
GACGAACGCUGGCGGCGGGCUUAACACAUGCCAGUCGAACGGAACGGCCCUGCUUUUGUGGGGUGCUCGAGUGGCGAACGAGUGAGUAACACGUGAGUAGCCUGCCCUUGACUUUGGGAGAACUUCAGGAAACUGUGGCUAAUACCGGAUAGGAGCUCCUGCUGCAUGGUGUGGGUUGGAAAGUUUCGGCGGGUGGGGAUGGACUCGCGGCUUAUCAGCUUGUUGGUGGGGUAGUGGCUUACCAAGGCGUUGACGGGUAGCCGGCCUGAGAGGGUGACCGGACACAUUGGGACUGAGGUAAGGCACAGCCUCGUACGGGAGGCAGCGGAGGGGAAUAGUGCACAAUGGGAGGAAGCCUGAUGCAGCCACGCCGCGUGCGGGAUGACGGCCUUCGGGUUGUAAACCGCUUUCGCCUGUGCCGAAGCGUGAGUGACGGUAAUGGGUAAAGAAGCACCGGCUAACUACGUG